AUUGAACGCUGGCGGCAUGCCUUACACAUGCAAGUCGAACGGCAGCACGGGGCAACCUGGUGGCGAGUGGCGAACGGGUGAGUAAUGCAUCGGAACGUACCUUUCAGUGGGGGAUAACGUAGCGAAAGUUACGCUAAUACCGCAUAUUCUGUGAGCAGGAAAGCGGGGGAUAGCAAGACCUUGCGCGGAUUCAGGGGCGGAUGUCAGAUUAGCUAGUUGGUGAGGUAAAGGCUCACCAAGGCGACGAUCUGUAGCGGGUCUGGGAGGAUGACCCGCCACACUGGAACUGAGACACGGUCCAGACUCCUACGGGAGGCAGCAGUGGGGAAUUUUGGACAAUGGGGGCAACCCUGAUCCAGCCAUGCCGCGUGAGUGAAGAAGGCCUUCGGGUUGUAAAGCUCUUUCGGCCGGGAAGAAAUCGCACGGGCUAAUACCCUGUGUGGAUGACGGUACCGGAAUAAGAAGCACCGGCUAACUACGUGCCAGCAGCCGCAGUAA
rnacentral:rRNA from 1 species